AGUCUGAGAGAGAAAGAGCCGGCCGACCCUGGAAGCCUACGAACUUUGGUUCCGCUUGCGGGGGAGGAGGAGGCUGAGCUACCAGGAAACCGCGGGGCCACCUGAAGAGAGCCGAGCUAUCAAGGAGUUUUAGGCAAUUGACAACCAGUUGCAAGUUGACCUGAAGGCGAUCAGCUUUGAAGGCAGAGAUGAACAUGAUUUCACCAGGAGGCACUGCAGGCAGCUCGCAAAUCACCUUGCUGAGCCAGUUUUGCAGAGAAAGAGUUAUCAAUGUCAUGGGGGCAUUAGUUUUUCCACAUUUACUUUAUGCAUUCAAUAGGCCCCUGUAAGGAAUUUCUGGCUGUUUGGCAGUGGCCUAAAUGUACUUGCUUCUGUGUGGCCCAAUUCCCGAGAUACGAUUCUUGCAAUUCAAGUAAGGGUUAGUUAGGUUUCCUUCAGUUUAUUCCAAUCUAUGUUCUGACUGCAACUUUUCAGAGUUCUUCAGGAAGUUUCUGACAAAAAUGAAAGCCUUUGGCAAGUGUCUGAGGAAGUAGACAACAGAUCAAGAUUCCCCUCCCCAAAGGAUAUAUUAGUCACUUAUGGAGAAAUUCCAAGACCUCAUUGAAAAUAAAAUAUUAAUGAAUAUGAAAGGGGGAUCCCCCAUUGGAAUCAGGAGAGAGCACAUAACAUGAAAAGCAUAUGGAGGGGCGCCUGGGUGGCUCAGUCAGUUAAGUGUCCGACUUCAGGUCAUGAUCUCACGGUUUGUGGGUUUGUCAAGCCCAGCGUCAGACUCCGUGCUGACACCUCAGAGCCUGGAGCCUGCUUCAGAUUCUGUGUCUCCCUCUGUCUCUGCCCUGUCCCUGCUCGUGCUGUCUGUCUCUCUCUCAAAAAUAAAUAAACAUUAAAAAAAUUAAAAAGAAAUAAAAAAGCAUGUAGAAAUAAGGACACAGAAUUGUUCAGAGAAAUAGAUAAAACGGAACCUUGAAAACUGCACAUUUCUACAUUUGGACAUCUAGAAAACUUUUGAAAAAUAAUCUAAUAUCAGGCACCAACACAUUUCUAGGGAAAGCUAAAUCUGCUAAGUAUUUCUAUAAUUUCAACAUAUACUUGAGAUGAAUUGUUGUUUCUCCCAUUGGCAUCCAAAGAUAAAGUUCUUUCCCAAAAUGGCACCCUUGCAUGCUGAGCCAUACAAGCAAAAAGACAGGACAGUAUGAAAACCAUCUAUUUUUCUUGUGAUGACACACGCGGUCUCCUCAACUGCCAGCACUUCUCUCUGGUUUGAUCCCUUAAUGUCAAAAAAGAGUUGGGAUAGUUGUCUAAACUUCCCCUGCCAUACUAUAGGUCUAGAAAAAUCAACAAUGAGGAACUAAGCAACACAGACAGAGCUGGUUUGAAACUCCUGCCUGCUUAGGGAGAAGAAUAACUAGCUUAGCAGGGUUUUGUGGUCACUUGUUUUCCUUCCAAAGAGUAACUCAAACUCUCCCAUCACACAAAUUCAAUCUACACCCAUCAAAUAAAUUCAAUGGGAAUCCAAGGAAAGAGAAGAGGUAGACAAAACAGACUGAAGUAUAACUUUUCAGUUCCCAAAUGUCUCAACUACUUUAAAAUUUUUCCUUUCAUGGGGCAGGAAAGAAAUUUUUUUAAUGAAAAAAAAAAAUCCUUUCACUUCAUCACUUCUUAAAACCCCAUGGAAAUUAAACAAACAAACUUGGUAAAAGAAAAUGAAGGACUUUCAGAUGAGAGAGACUGAAAACAGGUAAUAAAUAGGCAAAACUGGAGUAGAAAUGAGGAAUUGAGAGCAAAAAUAUUAGCAAGGAGAGUCUCCCAGUUUGAGAUAUCUUUUUGAAAUUUCAUUCAAGAAUUAUUUUUUGAGCCAGCUACAGUGAAUAAGACCCUGGGUUUACUUACUAUAAAUAACUUACAUAGAGAAUGAUACAGAUUCCAGACAAUAACACAGAUUUCUGGAGAAAUGAGGUAACUUUUGGAUAUUUUAGUGUCUUAAAUCCAAAAACUAUGUUAGUUUACUUAUCACUAACAUUCCUGUAAAACUGUCUCUAUGGAGCUUCCUACCGUCAAUAUGUACAACCAGAGAAAUGAAGAUUGCUUGGAGUUCUAGAAGAGGAUACAGCAGAGAUAUGACCCACUCUUUUGGGACUGCAGCAUCAAACCAGGAAAUCACCUGUGUCUCACCGAUCAGAACAUGCUGUGUUUUUUUAAAAACCAGACUCGCCUUUGUACUAUGUAAUCAUGUUAAUGGCUGGUAGCCAAAAAAUUCUUUUUGCUUGCA